rnacentral:tRNA from 1 species
GCCGCUUUAGCUCAGUCGGUAGAGCACAUCAUUCGUAAUGAUGGGGUCACAGGUUCGAGUCCUGUAAGCGGCACCA